ACCACUGGCGAUCGAUCAAUGAUCCAAAAAAAAGUAAGAGAAUGGGUGGAUCCCCUAUUUUCUAAAUUUUAUUUCCUUAUUUUUGUUGGCCGACCACUUGCUGCGGGUCGUUUACUGCUCCAUCAUCGAUCGCCUGCAUCACUACCCACUAUCAGACUUCCGACCAUGAGCCAACAGUCCCCUUCCUCCCCUAUUCAGCCAAAGAAA
rnacentral:lncRNA from 1 species